rnacentral:rRNA from 1 species
UGGCGGCGUGCCUAACACAUGCAAGUCGAGCGGUAACAGGUGUAGCAAUACAUGCUGACGAGCGGCGAACGGGUGAGUAAUGCUUCGGAAUCUGCCCAAUGGUGGGGAAUAACCAGCCGAAAGGUUGGCUAAUACCGCAUAAGUCCUUCGGGGGAAAGCAGGGGAUCGCAAGACCUUGCGCCGAUGGAUGAGCCGAAGUCGGAUUAGCUAGUUGGUAGGGUAACGGCCUACCAAGGCGACGAUCCGUAGCUGGUCUGAGAGGACGACCAGCCACACUGGGACUGAGACACGGCCCAGACUCCUACGGGAGGCAGCAGUGGGGAAUAUUGGACAAUGGGGGAAACCCUGAUCCAGCGACGCCGCGUGUGUGAAGAAGGCCUGCGGGUUGUAAAGCACUUUUAGUGGGGAUGAAAAGCUCAGGGCUAACACCUCUGGGUCUUGACCUAACCCACAGAAAAAGCACCGGCUAACUCUGUGCCAGCAGCCGCGGUAAUACAGAGGGUGCGAGCGUUAAUCGGAAUUACUGGGCGUUAAGCGUGCGUAGACGGUUAUGUAAG